rnacentral:rRNA from 1 species
AUUGAACGCUGGCGGCAUGCCUUACACAUGCAAGUCGAACGGCAGCGGACCUUCGGGUGCCGGCGAGUGGCGAACGGGUGAGUAAUAUAUCGGAACGGUACCUUUCAGUGGGGGAGUAACGUAGCGAAAGUUACGCUAAUACCGCAUAUUCUGUGAGCAGGAAAGCAGGGGAUCGCAAGACCUUGCGCUGAUUGAGCGGCCGAUAUCAGAUUAGCUAGUUGGUGGAGGUAAAGGCUCACCAAGGCGACCGAUCUGUAGCGGGUCUGAGAGGAUGAUCCGCCACACUGGAACUGAGACACGGUCCAGACUCCUACGGGAGGCAGCAGUGGGGAAUUUUGGACAAUGGGCGCAAGCCUGAUCCAGCCAUGCCGCGUGAGUGAAGAAGGCCU